GUCAUAAAGCCCAAGAAGUAGACUAGACCAUUGCAGAGAGGAAGAAGUUACCAUUUUUAUUGAAAGUAAAUUCAGCAGAAUGAUGACCAAACCCAUCUAGAAGAUUGAAUCAGUUCUAAAGCCUGCUCUGGAUGAGAGGGAGAUGAGACAGGAGUGAUGGAUAGUCUGCUGGAGGCCUUGCAGUCAGGGGCUGCCUUCCGCGACAGAAGAAAAAGGACACCAAAGCUGAAAGAUAUUCGGCAGAGUCUCAGCCCGAUGUCUCAGAGGCCUGUUCUCAAAGUUUGUAACCAUGGUAAUAAACUUUAUUCAUAAAUUGC
rnacentral:lncRNA from 1 species